rnacentral:rRNA from 1 species
GACGCUGGCGGCAUGCCUAACACAUGCAAGUCGAACGAGAAAGUCACUUCGGUGGUGAUUAAAGUGGCGCACGGGUGAGUAACGCGUAGACAAUCUGCCCUUCAGUCUGGGACAACUUUUCGAAAGGAGAGCUAAUACCGGAUAACAAUGUUUGACAUAAGUUAAAUAUUUGAAAGCUUUAUGUGCUGAAGGAGGAGUCUGCGUCCCAUUAGCUAGUUGGUGAGGUAAAGGCUUACCAAGGCAACGAUGGGUAGCGGGUUUGAGAGGACGAUCCGUCACACUGGAACUGAGACACGGUCCAGACUCCUACGGGAGGCAGCAGUGGGGAAUAUUGCACAAUGGAGGAAACUCUGAUGCAGCAAUGUCGCGUGAGUGAAGAAGGCCCUUGGGUCGUAAAGCUCUUUUAUGGGGGAAGAUGAUGACGGUACCCCAGGAAUAAGCACCGGCUAACUACGUGCCAGCAGCCGCGGUAAUACGUAGGGUGCGAGCGUUGUUCGGAAUUACUGGGCGUAAAGGGCGCGCAGGCGGAAUAGCAAGUCGGAGGUGAAAGCCCGGGGCUCAACCCCGGAGGGUCUUUCGAAACUGCUAAUCUAGAGAGGGUCAGGGGCCAGCAGAAUUCCUGGUGUAGAGGUGAAAUUCGUAGAUAUCAGGAGGAAUACCGGUGGCGAAAGCGGCUGGCUGGGGCCACUCUGACGCUGAGGCGCGAAAGCGUGGGGAGCAAACGGGAUUAGAUACCCCGGUAGUCCACGCCGUAAACGAUGAGCACUGGACGUCCGGAGGGUUCGACCCUUCUGGGUGUUUCAGCUAACGCAUUAAGUGCUCCGCCUGGGGAGUACGGUCGC